rnacentral:rRNA from 1 species
AGUGUGGCGCAUGCCACGCUUUUGAAAGAUGGUUUCGGCUAUCGCUUACAGAUGGGCCCGCGGUGCAUUAGCUAGUUGGUAGGGUAAUGGCCUACCAAGGCAACGAUGCAUAGCCGACCUGAGAGGGGGAUCGGCCACACUGGGACUGAGACACGGCCCAGACUCCUACGGGAGGCUGCAGUAGGGAAUCUUCCGCAAUGGACGAAAGUCUGACGGAGCAACGCCGCGUGUAUGAAGAAGGUUUUCGGAUCGUAA